rnacentral:lncRNA from 1 species
UGAAAGUUGAAGUUAUGUGAAUCCUGCAUUUCCAUACAGGUUGAACGCGCACACUACGAUUUGCACUUCAGGGACACCGUAGGUUUCAGCUCUGAUACUUCUGUUUCAGCUCCGAUACACAGCGGUUUAUUUUCUGUGGCUCGUUAAUUUUAUGCUUGGUUACUAUAUGUGAAAAUAAAGACUGUGCAAAGUCGUAUACACUUUUGUAAUCACAAUGAGACCAAUAUUGGAUUGAUUGAAUACUUCGUUAAAGAGCUUUUGAGAUUUGAAGAAUGUCUGUCGAAUGUCCAAUCUAAAAAUAACUUCACCGCAGUGAAAAACGAAAGUGAAAUAUUUUCUUUCAGGAUACAUUUUAAUACAACACAACGAAGACAAUCUACAGCAGAGGAAAACAAUAAAAUGAUCCACCACAACUGGAACCAGCAGGCAGUCCCUCCAGAGAGGGUGUAUACCUGGAGGGGCGAUUGGGGGUCUGACUCCCUUUCAUCGGACGAUGAUGAAGCGGUCUAUGAGAGAGUGGAGUAGGAUCCCCUUGGGGAGCAGUGCUGGGGGUUGCCCCAAGACGGGU